AAAUACCAAAUUUUAAAAAACAUUUUCUUACAGGAUGAAGUCUUACCUUAAAUGAAUCACUGGGAAGGCAGUUGGUGACUUCCCAGUUAUUUCUGUCUCUGUAGGUACACGAGACGCUAAUGCUGCUCUGUACAAUUCACUAUCGGACAUAUGAUCUGUCCGUGUUCAUGUAGAGAAAGCUUCCUUUCCUGCCAUGUUCCAUUAUUCGUUCCCUUGAUUCAUC